GCUGUGAGCUCGAUGAGUAGGGCGGGACACGUGGUAUCCUGUCUGAAUAUGGGGGGACCAUCCUCCAAGGCUAAAUACUCCUGACUGACCGAUAGUGAACCAGUACCGUGAGGGAAAGGCGAAAAGAACCCCGGCGAGGGGAGUGAAAAAGAACCUGAAACCGUGUACGUACAAGCAGUGGGAGCACGCUUAGGCGUGUGACUGCGUACCUUUUGUAUAAUGGGUCAGCGACUUAUAUUCUGUAGCAAGGUUAACCGAAUAGGGGAGCCGAAGGGAAACCGAGUCUUAACUGGGCGUUAAGUUGCAGGGUAUAGACCCGAAACCCGGUGAUCUAGCCAUGGGCAGGUUGAAGGUUGGGUAACACUAACUGGAGGACCGAACCGACUAAUGUUGAAAAAUUAGCGGAUGACUUGUGGCUGGGGGUGAAAGGCCAAUCAAACCGGGAGAUAGCUGGUUCUCCCCGAAAGCUAUUUAGGUAGCGCCUCGUGAAUUCAUCUCCGGGGGUAGAGCACUGUUUCGGCAAGGGGGUCAUCCCGACUUACCAACCCGAUGCAAACUGCGAAUACCGGAGAAUGUUAUCACGGGAGACACACGGCGGGUGCUAACGUCCGUCGUGAAGAGGGAAACAACCCAGACCGCCAGCUAAGGUCCCAAAGUCAUGGUUAAGUGGGAAACGAUGUGGGAAGGCCCAGACAGCCAGGAUGUUGGCUUAGAAGCAGCCAUCAUUUAAAGAAAGCGUAAUAGCUCACUGGUCGAGUCGGCCUGCGCGGAAGAUGUAACGGGGCUAAACCAUGCACCGAAGCUGCGGCAGCGACGCUUAUGCGUUGUUGGGUAGGGGAGCGUUCUGUAAGCCUGUGAAGGUGUGCUGUGAGGCAUGCUGGAGGUAUCAGAAGUGCGAAUGCUGACAUAAGUAACGAUAAAGCGGGUGAAAAGCCCGCUCGCCGGAAGACCAAGGGUUCCUGUCCAACGUUAAUCGGGGCAGGGUGAGUCGACCCCUAAGGCGAGGCCGAAAGGCGUAGUCGAUGGGAAACAGGUUAAUAUUCCUGUACUUGGUGUUACUGCGAAGGGGGGACGGAGAAGGCUAUGUUGGCCGGGCGACGGUUGUCCCGGUUUAAGCGUGUAGGCUGGUUUUCCAGGCAAAUCCGGAAAAUCAAGGCUGAGGCGUGAUGACGAGGCACUACGGUGCUGAAGCAACAAAUGCCCUGCUUCCAGGAAAAGCCUCUAAGCAUCAGGUAACAUCAAAUCGUACCCCAAACCGACACAGGUGGUCAGGUAGAGAAUACCAAGGCGCUUGAGAGAACUCGGGUGAAGGAACUAGGCAAAAUGGUGCCGUAACUUCGGGAGAAGGCACGCUGAUAUGUAGGUGAAGUCCCUUGCGGAUGGAGCUGAAAUCAGUCGAAGAUACCAGCUGGCUGCAACUGUUUAUUAAAAACACAGCACUGUGCAAACACGAAAGUGGACGUAUACGGUGUGACGCCUGCCCGGUGCCGGAAGGUUAAUUGAUGGGGUCAGCGCAAGCGAAGCUCUUGAUCGAAGCCCCGGUAAACGGCGGCCGUAACUAUAACGGUCCUAAGGUAGCGAAAUUCCUUGUCGGGUAAGUUCCGACCUGCACGAAUGGCGUAAUGAUGGCCAGGCUGUCUCCACCCGAGACUCAGUGAAAUUGAACUCGCUGUGAAGAUGCAGUGUACCCGCGGCAAGACGGAAAGACCCCGUGAACCUUUACUAUAGCUUGACACUGAACAUUGAGCCUUGAUGUGUAGGAUAGGUGGGAGGCUUAGAAGUGUGGACGCCAGUCUGCAUGGAGCCGACCUUGAAAUACCACCCUUUAAUGUUUGAUGUUCUAACGUUGACCCGUAAUCCGGGUUGCGGACAGUGUCUGGUGGGUAGUUUGACUGGGGCGGUCUCCUCCUAAAGAGUAACGGAGGAGCACGAAGGUUGGCUAAUCCUGGUCGGACAUCAGGAGGUUAGUGCAAUGGCAUAAGCCAGCUUGACUGCGAGCGUGACGGCGCGAGCAGGUGCGAAAGCAGGUCAUAGUGAUCCGGUGGUUCUGAAUGGAAGGGCCAUCGCUCAACGGAUAAAAGGUACUCCGGGGAUAACAGGCUGAUACCGCCCAAGAGUUCAUAUCGACGGCGGUGUUUGGCACCUCGAUGUCGGCUCAUCACAUCCUGGGGCUGAAGUAGGUCCCAAGGGUAUGGCUGUUCGCCAUUUAAAGUGGUACGCGAGCUGGGUUUAGAACGUCGUGAGACAGUUCGGUCCCUAUCUGCCGUGGGCGCUGGAGAACUGAGGGGGGCUGCUCCUAGUACGAGAGGACCGGAGUGGACGCAUCACUGGUGUUCGGGUUGUCAUGCCAAUGGCACUGCCCGGUAGCUAAAUGCGGAAGAGAUAAGUGCUGAAAGCAUCUAAGCACGAAACUUGCCCCGAG
rnacentral:rRNA from 1 species